AACGCACCUUGCACCCUUUGGUAUUCCGAAGGGUACACCCGUUUGAGUGUCAUUGUAAUCUCACUACAAUCGACUUUUUGUCUUUCCGUAUGUGGACUUGGAUGCUGUCGUGAUAUUCACGACUCGUCUGAAAUGCCUGAGUGUACCCCGCUUUGCGGCGUAUUCGGUGUGAUACAUCUUCACCGGAGUUGAUCCUUUUGGGUCGCGUCUGUAAUGGUGUGGCUCUAUGCUUCGAACCGUCUCUCCCAGAGACAACCUCUGACAAUUUGACCUCAAAUCGGGUGGGACUACCCGCUGAACUUAA
rnacentral:misc_RNA from 1 species